AAGCUUUCUCCGUGAUUGCUGUAGUACCUGAGAUUCUACCAUAGGAUCUUCCGCCUACAUUCUGAUCUUGCAUCUUUAAUGGAUAAAACAUUUGAGAGAAAGUUGCCUGUUAGUUCUUUAACAAUAUCACGGCUUAUAGACAACAUUUCCUCUCGGGAAGAGAUAGAUCAUGCAGAGUAUUACCUUUACAAAUUUCGACACAGCCCCAACUGCUGGUACCUGAGAAACUGGACUAUCCACACCUGGAUUAGGCAGUGUCUAAAAUAUGAUGCACAAGACAAAGCCUUAUAUACCC
rnacentral:sRNA from 1 species